rnacentral:rRNA from 1 species
UAAACGACUCUCGGCAACGGAUAUCUCGGCUCUCGCAUCGAUGAAGAACGUAGNGAAAUNNGAUACUUGGUGUGAAUUGCAGAAUCCCGUGAACCAUCGAGUCUUUGAACGCAAGUUGCGCCCGAAGCCGUUAGGCCGAGGGCACGUCUGCCUGGGCGUCACAC